UCAUUAGUUGUUUUUCUUGACUUCAAAUAACUAUUAAAAGGUGCUCUUCUCCAGUUACCUUGUAUGUGUUAGGAUUCCGUACUUUAAUAAGUUUGUCUACUUUAUGAAAUCACCAUCAAAUGACUUAGAAAUUGGUAUACAACCACCCAAUUUGCAAGGUGCUCUUUCCGCUAGUGAAUUAGGUAGCUAUGCUACAUAGCACCUACAAACAGCAACUAGCCAAUCAACCUGAACGGCUCACCUCUUCAACGGGUUAUAGCCACAAAA